AAGGCAGGAAUAAGGAACAGAUACAUCACUAGCACGCUGGUGGGGUGAGACUCGGCAGACACGGGAAGAGGCUCCUAGGGACAGUUCACCCCAGGCUUACGUCCUCUUCAUGUUCUGGUCUUUCCUUCCAGAGGGACGCCGCGGAAGCGGAGCUGCAGCUGAACCUCGCUGGCGACGGGGCUCCGCGGGUGUGUGUGUGUGUCUGUGUGUGUGUCUGUGUGUGUGUGUGUGUGUGUGUGUGUGUGAGUGACAGAGAGAGGAAAGAGGAGGAGGAAUAUAAAAAAGGAAGGGGAGGAAACGGGGAAAGAAUGGAAGGAAAAAAGAGAGCGAGGAAGACAAAAGGAGAGGAAGCUGCAGGAGGAAGGCUCUUAACUUGCGGACACUUAGCUCCUUUGCUCUGUGCGCAGAGAGAGGGAGAGAAAGAAAAGAGCGAAGGAGAGCCAGCUGUGAGUGCGUUUCCCGUUCCUGGCUCCUCCUAGGAGGCCUCGGCCUCAGUUCUGCAUAUUUUACUCCCGCGCUGGGAAACCCGGAAACGACUCCAGCAGCCCGGCGCGCAGGGCUGUAACCUUUCCCCGUUCUCACGGAGACGCAGAGGCGAGGCCGUCCAGGUGCGGCCGGGAUCUCCAGGAGUGCCCGGUUUCCCUAACCUCCACCCCAGGUCCCAGGCAGGACCCCAGGCUGCGCUGGCAGGCAGACCCCGCCUCGGGCUGCUCUUUCCUGCGCUGUCGACCGCGAGGGCGUCUACCAGCUGCACGUCCAGGUGACCCUGGCCAGGUGCUGCUCCCAAGGGACACCAGGCACCGCAAUGCCACCCUGGCCGUGGGGCUCUGAACCCCGCCCCCCACAGAGUCAGCCUGCUGCGCCUGGGCUUGUCCAGGCCUGCACUGUGGCCUCUCAGCGCCUGACGCCCUCUGCGCCAACCUCAGCCCCCAGCGCCUGCCCUCCCCCAACACCGACAAGAACUUCUUGGGCAUCCACUCCUGACCACCCCCGGCUCGGCUGCUCUGCUUCUGUUUUCUGUAAAUGAAUGUGUUUUUCAAUUUCACCUUGACUUGCAUAUUUGAUGGGUGAGUCAAUGCCGGCACAGCUGGCUUAGAUGGGCAGGAGACGCCUCAGUGUUCCCAGGGCACCAAAAACAAACGCAGCCUGGUGUGGUAGCCUACUUCUCUUGCCAGCAACUCAGGAGGCUGAGGCAGGAGGAUCGUAAAUCCAGGGCAGGCCUGGGCAACGAAUGACUUAGGGAGACACUGUCUCCAAAAAUCAAAAUGGGUCGGGGGUAGAGUUCAGUGAUAGAGCGCCCCUGGGCUUGGUGCCAGUAAAAAAUAAAAAUUAUAAACCCACGCAAAGAACCUAAAGCAAAAUGAUGCGUAAAUAUGGUGUAAAAUCACAGGAAAAAAGAACAUUAAACAAGUAAAGGAUAUAAAUACGGAGAAGUGAUGACACAGGCCUCUUGACCCUGCAUUCUGGGAGGCUGAGACAGGAGAGGCCCAAGUUUGAGCCCAGCCUGGGCAACUUAGCAACUUAGCAAGACCCUGUCUCAAAAUAAAAAAUAAAAAAGGCCUGGGUUCAAUUUCGGGUAAAGAGACAGAGAGGGAGAGAGAGAGGGAGGGAGGGAGAGAGAGAGAGAGAGGGAGAGGAUACAUAGAGAGUAUUUAAUAAUAGUGUACCAUACUAAAACUGGAUAAAGAUAAUAGAAGAGAAAAGUAUGAACAUAAGAAUUUGUUUAAUAAAACAAACUAUUAGAAGUCAGAUCUGGCAGUAUGUAGUAAGUGGUUUUAUUAUAGGGAUGGCAGUGUGGGUUCAGCAUUGGAAGAUCCACCCCCAUAAGGCAUCAUUUUAACAAAGGAAAGGAAAAAGCCAUAUGAUCCUGUCACUAGUUGGAGAAAAAGGUAUCGGACUAAAUUCCACAGAUGUUCAUGUUAAAAGCUAUUAGGAGACUAGAAGUAGAACAGAACCUUUUCAACAGAUUAAAGACUUGUACUCCAUACUUCCAGCAAAAACACCUUAUAUGAAUGGAAAAGAUACAAUGUUGAUUUCCUAAAAUGAGGGAAAUGUUUCUUCUUUUCUCUGCUUUAAAUGUUUGAUAUAAUUCGUCAGUUAAAAUGUAUAUGACCCUGUUUUAUAGGUAGGUUUUCAAGCUAGGAAUAUACUUUCUUUAAUAGGUGCUAUUCAAAUUUUAUAUUUCUUCCAGAGUCAGUUUCAUUAAUUUGUCUUCCAAGGUACUUCUUAGAAGUGGUCAGAUUUAUUUCAAAAAAGAUUUUUGUAAUAUGCUUUCGAUAUUCUUUUAAAUUCAGCAAAAUCUGUGGUAAUGUUCUCUAAAUCUUGAUAUUGUAAUUUUUUAAAAAAAUGUAUAAUUGAUAUUGUGUAAUAGGAAGAAAAGGUCUAAAGGAGUAGGGG
rnacentral:lncRNA from 1 species